rnacentral:rRNA from 1 species
CAAGGUUUGACAUCACCCGGACCGCUCCAGAGAUGGGGCUUCCCUUUUGGGCUGGGUGACAGGUGGUGCAUGGCUGUCGUCAGCUCGUGUCGUGAGAUGUUGGGUUAAGUCCCGCAACGAGCGCAACCCUUGCUCCAUGUUGCCAGCAACACCUUCGGGUGGUUGGGGACUCAUGGGGGACUGCCGGGGUCAACUCGGAGGAAGGUGGGGAUGACGUCAAGUCAUCAUGCCCCUUAUGUCUUGGGCUGCAAACAUGCUACAAUGGCCGGUACAGAGGGUUGCGAUACCGUGAGGUGGAGCGAAUCCCUAAAAGCCGGUCUCAGUUCGGAUUGGGGUCUGCAACUCGACCCCAUGAAGUCGGAGUCGCUAGUAAUCGCAGAUCAGCAAUGCUGCGGUGAAUA